rnacentral:rRNA from 1 species
GACAGAGGUUGCAAACGUUGUUCGGAAUUACUGGGCAUAAAGCGCACGUAGGCGGUUCGUUAAGUCAUGUGUGAAAUCCCUCGGCUCAACCGAGGAAUUGCGCCUGAUACUGGCGGGCUAGAGAUCGGUAGGGGUGAGUGGAACUCCAGGUGGAGCGGUGAAAUGCGUAGAUAUCUGGAGGAACACCGGUGGCGAAAGCGGCUCACUGGAUCGAUACUGACGCUGAGGUGCGAAAGCUAGGGUAGCAAACGGG